ensembl:misc_RNA 7SK 7SK RNA
GGAUGUGAGGGUAAUCCAAUGGUGACACCCCAUUGAUCACCAAGGUUGAUUUGGCUGAUCUGGCUGGCUAGAAGUGUCCCCUUCCUCCCUCACCUCAUAUGUAUUCCUCCAAAAGCUGGGUGCUUGUAGAAGAAGACAACCACCUCCUAUAGAGGAGGAACUUUCUCAGCCAAGGAUACAGGAGUAGCUAUACACUUCAGCUAGAACUUCCAAACAAGCUCAAGAAAAAAUUUAAAAAUACAUAACCAGGGCCAGGGAUUUAGCUCAGAGGUUCCACUGCCUGCCUCACAAG